CCCACGCUGCCUAGGUUGGCAGCCUCAGGCAGAGCUGUGCUCCCCGGGCAGCCUACUGAACCUCUCCGUCUCAGUUUCCUCCUCUGCGGAUCAGAAAAAAGACCUGGAGUUGUUUAAAAUAUCUGCCCAGCUGGGUCGCUUUGAGGAACGCGCAGGGGAGUGCGCGUUCACCACGUGCUGCUCAGCACAGGGUGCUGGGCACUGGCACGCGGGCUUCCCGCCCUCACCUCCCAAGGGAGCCGGGGAACCACAGAGGUCACGGAUGGCCUCUCCAUAAAGGGCUCUUGAGGGAUUAAACAACGGAACGGCGCCGGCACGCGCUCAGCCCAGGGCACAUGGGCCACCUUCCGGGCCCCUGACCUCGCACAGGGUGCAUCGCCCACCGUCCUGGGAGCCACAUGCCCCACCCCACAGCACGGGGCUCCUCAGCCCGCUCUGCACAGAGGGCUCCUCUGGAGACCCCCACGGCGCGGCAAGGACGCCCUGGCUGCAGAAGUCCAGGCAGAGGCGCUGACUGAGCUCUGUUUUGACCAGCGCAGACUCUGCCUGUCUCUGAGUGCGGCUGCCUCAUCGCAAAGACUCAGAGGUCUGCGGUCUGUCACAGGACAAUCCUACAUCAUCUUGGGGACAGGGACAGGAAGGCUGGAUCCAGCAGCUGCCCCAUCUGCCCAGCCAAGACCUUAUACAAAUCACCCCACAGAUGUCCGCCUGCAAGUCCAGCCCACGUGGACUUACUUUCCGGUGGCUGGAAGGGCCCACGAUUAGAGGAAGGGGCUCAGGAAGAGGAGGCUCCUGUGUGGGAGGACAGGAGCUGGAGAGACCUGAGCAUAAGGAGACCAGCCAGCUUCCCGCCGUGGUCCAACUCCUAUCACCCAGGUCAGCAUGGGCACAGGAGAAAGAAGGCCACUGAGUAGGUAGAUGGUGGACAGAGGAAGAGCAGGACCAUCACCCAGAUUCCAAGAACUGGUGAACAAGGCCUUCAAGAAACAAAGUAGACUGUAGCUGUAGCACCUGAUCAGAAAACACUACGGGAGUAGCUGUGACAUACAUCUUGGCUUCCUGGUCCAGCGUCAAGAGAUUGGAAUUCUACCCAGAAUCCACGUGAGUGCGAAUCUGGGCUCCCACCUUCAUGAUUCUAAGAUUCAGGAGUUGGGCUGAGAACAGAAUCUAGUUUAGGGCUGAUAUCCCCCAUGACUACACUCCACAUCUGGUCAGCAGUCUGAAGCCCACAUUGAGGGCAGUGUGUGUUGUGCACACAGCUCCAGCUUCUGCAUGUGGACUUCCUGAGGAAGAUGGGCUGAGCACUUGAGGGGACUGUCCAAGGUCCCUGUGGUUCCCCUAUUUGGCUCCUGGAGCUCAGUCCUAUGAAUGCUUCCUGCCUCAUCCCUAGGACCUGGCCUGCACCACUGCACCAGGUGUCCUAUCCCCUCUGGAGGCUGGGUCCUGGCUCCAGGCUGACGGCUGUGGAGAUCAACUCACCCUUUCUCUUCUGUGGGCCUCUGCACCCUUUGUUGCUGAUAUCCAGGGUCCAAACACUUGUGUCACAUACAAGGGCGACCAAAAUGGAAAGGCGCACUUCUAAGACCACCGUGGUGUUCCUCAUCUACCUUAUUCACUAGAUCUGGCAACCUGUCACUUCUGCCCCUCCCCGAAGGUAAAAUGACCAUGAUAAAGAAAUGGUUUGAAUCUAUUUUGGUCACUGAGGCUGGUAAUGAAAGAAGAUUUCCAGAACUGCUUCAGAAAUUGACAAGAACAUUGGAAUAAUGUUUUUGAAGCAAGCAGUAAAUAUUGAGGGGGAUUCAUGUUAAUGUGUUUUGCACUGAAUAAACUUUUAAAAAAUUAAACAUUCAAUAUGCCUUUCAGAACACCUGAGUUUUUCUGUGUGUUUCCUAUGGUCUAUUUUCUUGGUUGCUUCAGGAAAGAAAAGUGGUUGCUGCCAUUUAAUGCCCUUGGUGUGAAAGAGACUCUUCUGGCUUUUUGCAUUUGUGAUUGGCCAUGAUGGAAGAUUGAUGCUUCUCUUUUUCUUUCUUUCUU